CUACCGGAACGGCAGCCGCUGACAGCUCCUAUGGGGGUUGAGGUCUGGGCCAAGUGUUGGAUCUGAGAGACAGGAUGUCUCAGGAACACAGCAUUCAACAACUAUCUCAAGAGGUACUAACUGCUAAGUGGCUAAAAUACAACGAUGCGGCAACAGAUCCACCGGCAAAGCUCAACAUCCAGUAAGUCCUCCCUCGCAAUGCAUCUUUGCCAGCAACCCUUCCUUUCACAAGCCGAGGAUUCCGCUGGCCACGAGGGCCCCACGGGCUGAGGG